CCCAGGCGCUGAGCUGCCCCUUGCGAGCUCUGUGUCGUCCCCGCCUAGCUCACAAUGAACUCUCUGCUCCUCCCUGUGCUCCUCCUGGCUCUGGCCCCGGGUGUCCUGUCCCAGCUCCAGCUCCAGGAGUCCGGCCCAGGGGUGGUGAAGCCUGGAGAGACCCUCACACUCACCUGCACUGUCACCGGGGGCACCAUCACUAGCAGCUACUACUGGAAUUGGCUACGCCAGGCCCCGGGCCAAGCGCUGGAGUGGAUGGGAUACUGGAAAGGGGGAACAAGCUACGCCCCGUCUCUCCAAGGCCGAAUCACCAUCUCCGUGGAUUCUUCCAACACCAAAUACUAUCUGCGGCUGAGCUCGCUGACAGCUGCAGACACCGGCACCUAUUACUGCGCCAGAGACACGGUGACACAGCAGAGCAGGGACCGUACAAAAAGGGGAAGCGGAUUUUAA